rnacentral:lncRNA from 1 species
UUUAGUUGUUUAUUUUUCUUUUUAGUAUAAUGCAUGAGUCUGACGAGUCACCAAAUAUAGUAGAUCUCUAGUACAAUCCUACCUCCCCAUACCUUUAGCCCCACCGAAAAAAAAUUGCAAAAGAAAAUAGUGUUAUUCCGAAAGUUUUCAGGUUUUAAAGACAUGUUUUAAGUAAGGAUACGGUGACUUGGGAGAACUUUGCGAAACAUCAGCAUUAUUU